UACGUAGGGGGCAAGCGUUGUCCGGAUUUAUUGGGCGUAAAGAGCGUGUAGGCGGCUUGGUAGGUCUCGCGUCAAAACCUGAGGCUCAACCUCAGUUCGCGUGGGAAACCACCUAGCUAGAGUCCGGAAGAGGAGAACGGAAUUCCCAGUGUAGCGGUGAAAUGCGCAGAUAUUGGGAAGAACACCAGUGGCGAAGGCGGUUCUCUGGGACGGUACUGACGCUGAGACGCGAAAGCGUGGGGAGCGAACCGG
rnacentral:rRNA from 1 species